UACGUAGGGUGCAAGCGUUAAUCGGAAUUACUGGGCGUAAAGCGUGCGCAGGCGGCGCCGCAAGUCGAGUGUGAAAUCCCCGAGCUUAACUUGGGAAUUGCAUCCGAUACUGGAUGGCUUGAAUCCGGGAGAGGGAUGCGGAAUUCCAGGUGUAGUGGUGAAAUGCGUAGAUAUCUGGAGGAACACCGGUGGCGAAGGCGGCGAUCCCUGGACCGGGCAUUGACGCUGAGGAGCGGAAAGCCAGGGGAG
rnacentral:rRNA from 1 species